rnacentral:rRNA from 1 species
UACGUAGGGGGCAAGCGUUGUCCGGAAUCAUUGGGCGUAAAGCGCGUGUAGGCGGUUCGGUAAGUCGGCUGUGAAAGUCCAGGGCUCAACCCUGGGAUGCCGGUCGAUACUGCCGGACUAGAGUUCGGAAGAGGCGAGUGGAAUUCCCGGUGUAGCGGUGAAAUGCGCAGAUAUCGGGAGGAACACCAAUGGCGAAGGCAGCUCGCUGGGACGUUACUGACGCUGAGUACGCGAAAGCGGUGGGGA